CAUAAUGCGCGUAUGAAAAGAAUUUAUGUAUAUUAAAAUUUUUUCUAUUUAUCUUCGCGGUUAGGAAAUUUAUAUUUCCCUAUAAAUAUCUAUUGUUUCUUUUAACUUUAUAAUGUAAGACGAGCUUACUACGAUAAUUACAAACAUUCGUCCGAUUAGAAAGUAACAUAAAAUCAUUAGCUUAAAGUAAUUGAAACUAUGAAUUCUAAGAUAGCAUAGAUCCAGCAGUCAAUUGUUUUUAUUUAUCCUCUUUUAUUUAUUAUUAUUAUUAUUAUUAGUGAUCUUUUUUCUAAACUUAUUAUUUCAUUAGAUUGUGGAUGAAGAUGAAAUUCGCAAUGUAAGCCUCAAGAUGUGCUUCUUUAAAAAUAAUAUCAAUCAAAUUUCAAAAUAGAUCUCUAAAUUCGAUACAUUCUGUCCAAAUAAUUUUAUAAUUGUUACAAUUAAAAUCUUCAGUCGAUUAUCUUUGAUAAUUUUGGUUCAUAUUUAUACUUUCUGAUCUUCCUAAUUUUUCACGCGAAUGAUAGAUUGCCUGUUCUCCUAAUGUAGCUCUUGGAAUACUUAUAUUAGAAUCUUAUUUAAAGUUUCAAGUUUUAUGAAAAUCUAUUCGAAUUCAAUACUUUGAUAAAUAAUCUAACUUUUCCUCAUACGAUAUUAAAAUGUUAGAAUUCAUGGACUUAAUUCAUGUAUUUUAAUUAUUUAAAUUUGUACAAUUCAUAUGCUCCCCAAUAUAUUCGAUAUGUGUAACGUUUUACCUACUGACAAGACAGUUUCUCCUACGCUGUUAUAAAUAAAAAGAAUCGAAUACUUUCCUCGUAACCUUACGGUGGUCGUAAAAUUUAUUCACAUAUAAAAAUACCUUACAUGAGUAUCGAUAUUAUAUUAUAGCGGAAUAAACUCGUAAAUGUAACAUUGAGAAAUGUAAAUAUUCAGUUUCAAUUCGAAAGCUAGUAAUUUAUAAUUGUUAUAAAUAAAUUGUUUCACGAUAAUGUAA